rnacentral:lncRNA from 1 species
AUUAGUACAUGUUCCUCAAUUGAGGGCUAUUCAGCAUUCCAGGCACCCUACAGAUAACCACAGUAUGCCACAGGUGACAGAUCAUCCAGGCAGAUUUAUCUCACAGGGUACUUCUACUGCUAGUUUCAUAUCCAUUACCCGAGUCCAAAAGUAACAACUUGAAAUAGUGGUGGUAGUGAGGACCUGUAUCUCUGUCUGUCUCUCUCAGAUUGUUUGGUAAACAAUGCUCCCUGUGAAGAGCAGCUCAAACGUAUCUAGCAGAGUUUCUUUGUUUGCACGUUUCUUUGGCCUUGAAUAUUCUUGAAUGACUUCUGAACUGUGUGUUGCUCGGCUGCAUCCCGUCCUCCCAUCUCCCCUCUUAUGACAUCACUAUCUCCCUUUGCUCCUUCUCAAACAGGAGUAGAUAAACACAGGCUACUCUCCUAGGUCUCCUGCUCCUUGGGCAGGUACAGCUAUCCCUUCCAUGUGAGCCUGGAGACAUUUCCAAAGCCUGCUCCUCCACCCUGCUUCUACUUAAGGAAUGCUUUUAGAGAACAUGGUCUUCAGAUUUGGAGCAGCUUUUAGCAAGCUGCACAGUAUAAGGAACAACUGGAUGAUUCCAGCCCGGUCUGAGAGCGUGGAUCUUUGUCACACCGCCUGUCAUUUUAAAGGUUUGUAGUGAUGCUUCGUUUUACACUCAUCUUUUACUUCACCAUCUCCUCCUAUCUUUCCCCACAACUAGAGUUGCCCCCAAUAGUGUAGCAGAAAGGUGACAGUCAGGAUUAAGCCCGCUCCUCCACUUUGCACCUCCACAUGGGGCUCUCCCUCCUGCUACUAUUUUUCAUUUAUUGCCUAUCCUUUUUUUUAAUUAUAGAAGUAUAAGAUAGCAAUUACAUAACAAGCAUCCAGUGUAAAUAACAUCGUCUGUUUUAUGUUAUUAAUUGCAAGGUCUCUAUAUACUUAUACUUUUCUCUAGAUUUUUUUUCAGAAUACUUCCCACUUGUGUGCCUUUAAAACAUCCUCCAGUAUCCACUUCUCAGGAAACAGACAGACAGACAGAAUCUCCAGUUGUUGUUUCACUACAUCUUCUGUCCUGCUUGUUCUAAAACCUGCUUGUUCCAAAAUAAUCUAUUUUAUAGGGUUUUUCUGAAGAUAAACAAGAUAGUAUUACAGCAGUUUGUGCUGUACAGCAACUAUGUACAGUAUAAACACUAAAAGUUGUGUCAUUUUACAGCACAAGGCUUUAUAUUUUCCUCCAAAGUACUGUAUAUACCCUGCUUGUUCACAGA